CAGAAACAAAGAAAAAAAGACGAAAGGACAAACAGAGAGUUGUCUCCUAAACGAAAACUCGAUUCCACCAAAUUGACCUUAUUCAGCCGAUAAUCUCUCACCCAAAUCUGAUUUUCCAGUCUAAAAUUCCAGUUAAAGCUCUAUCAUCAAUCUGUCUUUUUUGGAUUAUCUAAAUGGAUUGUAUGGAUAACUAAGCUUCUGGUUCUUGAUCUGAUCUGCGUUGUCGAUGGCUAUACGAAACUGAACUCUCCUUUGAUCCACCGCUUCGUCUUGUUCUUUUCUAGCAUGUGUACAAUAUUUGGAGGCCUAUUACAAAAAAAAAAGCAAGAUGGAAGACUGGAUGAGCAAGCACGAAGCUAACAUUCCUUGAUUCUUGUAAAGAUGUUUGGCUGGAUUUGCAGCAGAUCCUGCUUCAUGCUUCAUGAUAUCAUCCUGCUUCAUUAUAUCAACAAAUGAAGAUCACAUUGUUUUCCAUUCCUUGUAAUUGCUUUCUCUUGAUCGAUGGUGCUUCUCGACCAUGUUUGGCAAAACCAGGGUCCAGGUAUGUUUGUAACAUCCUCCAAAACAGUUCUUUUUGGCAAGUUUGAUUCUGUAGUAGAUCCUAUAAUAUACAAACAAAUAAGAAAACAAUAAUUCAGUCCCUCCCAUGUAUGUUUUACCUUGUAUACUAUCGAUGAUUUCACCUUACUUUUCCAACUUGUUUUAAAAGACUGAUGUUAACGAGCUUUCUUCACCCAUAAUUAGCAGCCACUAAUCGUGGCCCACGAUGACUAAAAAUUGGCAGAUAUAUCUAAAUUAUUGAAUAUUAUGUUUGUUUAUCGAGGUUUGUUUAUCGAGGUUUGUAUUAAUGAUAAGAUACGUUAAUUAUCUUCUUAACUAAAAUAUCCGGGAUAGUUGCUAAAAUUUAAGGAAUACGAAUAUUUAUUUUGAUUUUAGAAGGUGAAUAUUAGUAAUAAUAUAUCAAAAACUUUGUAAACAUUCUAAUGACAAUGAUUUGUGUAAUGUUAAUGAAUGAAUUAGUUAAUUUGGAAAUCUGCAAUAUUUUUGAUUAUAUGUUCGAUAAUAUAUCCAUUGAUUCCGGAUUUUGAGUAAAUGUUUUAAACAAAAAUUAAUGACAAAGUUUGUUUUAUGUUUGUUCGGUCCACCUGUAUGGUAGAUACGAUUUGAUUUUGAGUUGAUUUUCCUAAUAUAACGUGGUUAAUCAAUUAAUUAUGGAUCUUAUAUUUAUCUUAUAUUGUUUACCCUUUUAUUAUUUUCUACUACAUUUUGCUGAAAACUAGUUCUGAUUGGCUACCGGAGUUAAGGUGGGCGACAAACACUCUAUUAAACAGGAUCCGAAUAUGAGUAUUACGGGUCGCCCAGGAUCCGCCCGUCUAGACAAAGAAAACUUACCAAGUUACCCUUUUCGGGGUUUUUUUUGUGUUUUCCAAUUUUUUUU